ACUAUUUUAGCAAAAAAAUGCCUUAAAUUUAGAAUUUAAUAAUGUAAUAUUUAUUACAAAUAGUA
rnacentral:tRNA from 1 species